rnacentral:pre_miRNA from 1 species
CUUGUACUCCCUCCGUCUCAGAAUUCUUGUCUUAGAUUUGUCUAGAUACGGAUGUAUCAAGUCACAUUUUAGUAUUAGAUACAUCCGUAUCUAGACAAAUCUAAGAUAAGAAUUUUGGGAUGGAGGGAGUAGUAC